GGCAUUGGUGGUAAUCUAGUAGCUAUUCAAGCUAGCAGAAUUUCUACCUACCUCCAUUUACACAGCAUUCCUGGAGAACUGCCGGAAGAAGCAAAGGGUUGCUAUUAUCCAUGCAAAACCUAUUAUGGCACAGGAGUGAAUAACAAAUCAGCCCAAGUUCUGCUUCUUCUGGUGAUUCCCGGACACCUAAUUUUCUUGUACACUAUCCAUUUAAUGAAAAGCGGCCAUACUUCCUUAACUCCCAUCUUCAUAGCAGUAUAUUUGUUUGCAGCUCUGCUACAGGUGUUUACUCUACUAUGGAUUGCUGACUGGAUGGUCCACCACUUCUGGAAAAAAGGAAAGGAUCCUGACAGUUUUUCUAUCCCUUAUCUUACUGCACUGGGAGAUCUGCUUGGAACUGCCUUGUUAGCCCUGGGUUUUCAUUUUCUGUGGCUCAUAGGUGACAGAGAUGGGGAUGUUGGAGACUAAUUGUUCUAGUGGAUGCAAUCGAUGACUUUUUUUCCCAGAAUAUUGAGAAGACAAAUCGUUCCACUUGAAGAUCCUCAAGACUAUUGUUCCAUUUAGUAUGAGUAGAUCAAACUGACACAGAUAUAAAAAAGCCUUAACAUUUUGGGGG